UACGGGGGGGGUAAGCGUUGUUCGGAAUUACUGGGCGUAAAGGGCUCGUAGGCGGCCAACUAAGUCAGACGUGAAAUCCCUCAGCUUAACUGGGGAACUGCGUCUGAUACUGGAUGGCUUGGAUUCGGGAGAGGAAUGCGGAAUUCCAGGUGUAGCGGUGAAAUGCGUAGAUAUCUGGAGGAACACCGGUGGCGAAGGCGGCAUCCUGGACCGGCAUUGACGCUGAGGAGCGAAAGCUAGGGGAGCAAACGGG
rnacentral:rRNA from 1 species